rnacentral:rRNA from 1 species
UACGGGGGGGCAAGCGUUGUUCGGAAUUACUGGGCGUAAAGGGCUCGUAGGCGGCCAACUAAGUCCGACGUGAAAUCCCCAGGCUUAACCUGGGAACUGCGUCGGAUACUGGAUGGCUUGAAUUCGGGAGAGGGAUGCGGAAUUCCAGGUGUAGCGGUGAAAUGCGUAGAUAUCUGGAGGAACACCGGUGGCGAAGGCGGCAUCCUGGACCAACACUGACGCUGAUGAGCGAAAGCCAGGGAGCAAACGGG